rnacentral:rRNA from 1 species
AGCGAACGCUGGCGGCAGGCUUAACACAUGCAAGUCGAACGCCCCGCAAGGGGAGUGGCAGACGGGUGAGUAACACGUGGGAACGUACCCUUUGGUUCGGAAUAACUUGGGGAAACUCAAGCUAAUACCGGAUAAGCCCUUAUGGGGAAAGGUUUACUGCCGAAGGAUCGGCCCGCGUCUUGUUAGCCAGUUGGUGAGGUAAUGGCUCACCAAGGCGACGAUCAGUAGGUGGUCUGAGAGGAUGAUCCGCCACACUGGGACUGAGACACGGCCCAGACUCCUACGGGAGGCAGCAGUGGGGAAUAUUGGACAAUGGGGGCAACCCUGAUCCAGCCAUGCCGCGUGAGUGAUGAAGGCCUUAGGGUUGUAAAGCUCUUUUACCCGGGACGAUAAUGACUGUACCGGGAGAAUAAGCCCCGGCUAACUUCGUGCCAGCAGCCGCCGUAA